AUUGAACGCUGGCGGCAGGCCUAACACAUGCAAGUCGAGCGGAUGAAGGGAGCUUGCUCCUGGAUUCAGCGGCGGACGGGUGAGUAAUGCCUAGGAAUCUGCCUGGUAGUGGGGGAUAACGUCCGGAAACGGGCGCUAAUACAGCAUACGUCCCGAGGGAGAAAGUGGGGGAUCUUCGGACCUCACGCUAUCAGAUGAGCCUAGGUCGGAUUAGCUAGUUGGUGGGGUAAAGGCCUACCAAGGCGACGAGCCGUAACUGGUCUGAGAGGAUGAUCAGUCACACUGGAACUGAGACACGGUCCAGACUCCUACGGGAGGCAACAGUGGGAAAUAUUGGACAAGGGGCGAAAGCCUGAUCCAGCCAUGCCGCGUGUGUGAAGAAGGUCUUCGGAUUGUAAAGCACUUUAAGUUGGGAGGAAGGGCAGUAAGUUAAUACCUUGCUGUUUUGACGUUACCAACAGAAUAAGCACCGGCUAACUUCGUG
rnacentral:rRNA from 1 species